rnacentral:lncRNA from 1 species
UUAAUUUUAGCAAACACUUGGUGUGCACACUACACCAAGUCUUAAUUUCAUUAUAAUUGAUUAUACAUAAUUUUCCUUAGUUACAACCAAAGUGAUUGCAACAAUUUAUCAAACAACUUUAAUGCACAACAAUUAAGCGAGAUGAAGUUACCAAUUAGUUUCAGACAAGAUUCAAUUUAUGCAGAAAUUAAAGAGUUAGAGAAAG